GACGAACGCUGGCGGCGUGCUUAACACAUGCAAGUCGAACGGAAAGGCCCUGCUUGCAGGGUACUCGAGUGGCGAACGGGUGAGUAACACGUGGGUGAUCUGCCCUGCACUUCGGGAUAAGCCUGGGAAACUGGGUCUAAUACCGGAUAGGAGCCAUUUUUAGUGUGAUGGUUGGAAAGUUUUUUGCGGUGUAGGAUGAGCUCGCGGCCUAUCAGCUUGUUGGUGGGGUAAUGGCCUACCAAGGCGGCGACGGGUAGCCGGCCUGAGAGGGUGGACGGCCACAUUGGGACUGAGAUACGGCCCAGACUCCUACGGGAGGCAGCAGUGGGGAAUAUUGCACAAUGGGCGCAAGCCUGAUGCAGCGACGCCGCGUGGGGGAUGACGGCCUUCGGGUUGUAAACUCCUUUCGCUAGGGACGAAGCUUUUUGUGACGGUACCUAGAUAAGAAGCACCGGCUAACUACGUG
rnacentral:rRNA from 1 species